CCGGCAAACGGGUGCGGAACACGUACACAACUUUCCUUUAAGUGGGGAUAGCCCAGAGAAAUUUGGAUUAAUACCCCGUAAUAUUAUGAAGUGGCAUCAUUUUAUAAUUAUAGCUCCGGCGCUUGAAGAUGGGUGUGCGGCUGAUUAGGUAGUUGGCGGGGUAACGGCCCACCAAGCCUACGAUCAGUAACUGGUGUGAGAGCACGACCAGUCACACGGGCACUGAGACACGGGCCCG
rnacentral:rRNA from 1 species